ACGAGUUUGAUCCUGGCUCAGAUUGAACGUUGGCGGCAGGCCUAAUACAUGCAAGUCGAACGGCAGCACAGAGAGCUUGCUCUUGGGUGGCGAGUGGCGGACGGGUGAGUAACGCGUAGGAAUCUACCCAGUAGCGGGGGAUAGCCCGGGGAAACCCGGAUUAAUACCGCAUACGCCCCACGGGGAAAGGCCGGGAUCUUCGGACCGGUCACUAUUGGAGGAGCCUGCGUUGGAUUAGCUUGUUGGUGGGGUAAAGGCCUACCAAGGCUGCGAUCCAUAGCUGGUCUGAGAGGACGAUCAGCCACACUGGAACUGAGACACGGUCCAGACUCCUACGGGAGGCAGCAGUAGGGAAUAUUGUGCAAUGGGCGAAAGCCUGACACAGCCAUGCCGCGUGUGUGAAGAAGGCCUUAGGGUUGUAAAGCACUUUUCAGUAGGGAGGAAUUAGUAGGGUUAAUACCUUAAUGAAAUGACGUUACCUACAGAAGAAGUACCGGCUAACUCCGUG
rnacentral:rRNA from 1 species